rnacentral:lncRNA from 1 species
CCUUUUUAGCAGUACCGCAUUUACUCAAAAAAACAGAUUUUUUUUCUUCACAUUUUUCGACUGGGGUCACCUCCGAUAAAAAAUUGUGAAAAUUCAGAGAGGAUUGCCAGAACGUUUUAAAGAUGAUUUAUUUGUGGCAUAUAUAUUUGUGCAUCUAACGCACUAUGAAUUGCACGAUACAAGAAAGUAUUAAAUACCGUAUAGGUUACAAUACACCAUUAGAUUUUAUGGGCGCAGCCAUUUUAUGAGCAUAACAUGGUAUUCAGAAUUAAGAGUAUGGCUAAUCCUGAUUGGUCGAUAUGUGCGCCCGUUAUUUUUUAUUAUUAGAGACUUCGUGCACUCUGCUUUAUACAAAAGGCAAAAUAAAAAUUAUUCCGUAGCCCUAAAGGCACUGAGAUGACUUUUCAACGCUAGGACAAGACACGUAUUUUUAAGGGCAAAAUUGAUAGGCAUGGGAGAUAAGUACAAAAUACACUAAGAAAAGCAAC